rnacentral:rRNA from 1 species
GACGAACGCUGGCGGCGUGCUUAACACAUGCAAGUCGAACGGAAAGGCCCUGCUUUUGUGGGGUGCUCGAGUGGCGAACGGGUGAGUAACACGUGAGUAACCUGCCCUUGACUUUGGGAUAACUUCAGGAAACUGGGGCUAAUACCGGAUAGGAGCUCCUGCUGCAUGGUGGGGGUUGGAAAGUUUCGGCGGUUGGGGAUGGACUCGCGGCUUAUCAGCUUGUUGGUGGGGUAGUGGCUUACCAAGGCUUUGACGGGUAGCCGGCCUGAGAGGGUGACCGGCCACAUUGGGACUGAGAUACGGCCCAGACUCCUACGGGAGGCAGCAGUGGGGAAUAUUGCACAAUGGGCGGAAGCCUGAUGCAGCAACGCCGCGUGCGGGAGGACGGCCUUCGGGCGGUAAACCGCUUUCGCCUGUGACGAAGCGUGAGUGACGGUAAUGGGUAAAGAAGCACCGGCUAACUACGU